rnacentral:rRNA from 1 species
UACGGGGGGAGCAAGCGUUGUUCGGAUUUACUGGGCGUAAAGGGCGCGUAGGCGGUCAGCACAAGUCAGUUGUGAAAUCUCCGGGCUUAACUCGGAAAGGUCAACUGAUACUGUGCGACUAGAGUGCGGAAGGGGCAACUGGAAUUCUCGGUGUAGCGGUGAAAUGCGUAGAUAUCGAGAGGAACACCUGCGGCGAAGGCGGGUUGCUGGGCCGACACUGACGCUGAGGCGCGAAAGCCAGGGGAGCGAACGGG